CACUGAUGUUGAUGAUAAAUACUGCUGUCAUCUCAACCAGAUCACAUUCACUGCUUCAUCAUGGACUUCGAUCUGUGCUCAGGUAAAUGAUAUUCCAGUAAACACACACUGGUUGAUUUCUAAGAGAAACUAACAGUUUUAUUCCUGUUUUGGAGCAGCUGUUGGAGAUGAUGAGGUGAAGAAGCAGGAGGGCAACGAGGUGGAGGGCAUCUUUGGGUUUGGAAAAAAAGAUAAAGACAAAGAAGAAAAAGAUAAAGAGUGUAAGGACAAAGACAAAGGUAGUGACAAGCCAAAGAGUGAUUGCAAAGAAGAGGAUAAAGACAAGGACAAGUGCAAAGACAAAGAGAAGGACAAGUGCAAAGACAAAGAGAAGGACAAGUGCAAAGACAAGGAAAAGAAGAAGGAUAAAGAGCACAAAAAGGGGCACGGUCAUGGACACGGACAUGGUCAUGGUCGGGGACGUGGACGCGGACACGGACACAGGUCAUCCUCUUCAUCCAGUGAUGAGGUACCUUUACUAUGGUUUUAUAAACACUUAAUUAAAACAAGCCCAAAUUAAUUUGGUUUUGUGAGACACAGAAGGAGAUCUUCAGCAUAUCGACUUCUUUUAUGGUGAUUUUUGGUUGUUUUUUGGUGCAGUUUGGCACCAUUCGUUUGUCUAUGAGCAGACAAAGUUUGAGUUAAGAACAGGUUACUAACAUUUUAAUUAAAUGUUUUAACUGAGGUUGUAAAAAUGGCGUGAUAAUGGCAUCUCAUAAUAACGGCUGAUCUUGAGGUGUGGUGCGCACUUACAGUCGUAAAGAUCUAGGGCACAUGCUCCAUUCGUCAGUUUUGCUUAACUACAGUUCAAAACAAAAGACUCAAAUGAAUCGUUCUGAUGAUCUGAUUGGAGGAGCCACAUUUGAUGCUAAUCUACUUAAACUUUCUACCUCACUGACUUUCACCUUGUUUCAUGUUCUUCAUUCUUACAUGUAAGUAAUAUACUGUAAAACAAACCUGGCCAGUUUAAACGUGUCAAACUUCGUUAAAAACACCUGGAUGAAGUCGAGUGCUUUCAUAGACUGACUUUCAGAGUCUGCUGGAUGGGUCCGCCCCUGUAAUGCAGACAAAUCGGUUUACUUGUUGAAGAGAGGACAAAAAAAAACACAAAAGAUUUUCCAGAAACCAAAUGCAUGAGAUUCGACCAAAAAUGUAUAAUCUGUGUUUUUCAAAUCAUUUAUGUAGAGUUACAAGCACUUGAACUGUCACAUUUGUUUUUGUUUUUCAUAGAAAACCGGAAGUUAACAUUAUUCUCUCUUUGUUUGCAGGACUAAAGCUGAAGACAUAAGAGGGCCGGGGCAAGUUGUCACACAGGGAAAAUGUCCUAAGGGAUUUAUUUUUAUAGCAACUGUGAGGUUUUGAGUCAAAAAAUCCAAUUGCACAAAUGCUUGUUUUCUAGCAGUGGUUUUAUAUGUUGUUUCAAACACCUAGUUGCAACAUUUGUAUUAAAUUAGGAUAAUAUUUUUGGAAUUGUGUCCUACAAACUAAAAUUUCAGUACUAUUAUCUUUUUAUAAAUUGGUCUGAGCUGUUACAUGAGUUUUGUGAUGUACUGCAUAUAAAGUAUCUAUGAAAAUCUCCUGUUAUUUUUUGUAACAUUUAAAUUUUUUUGCUGUUUGUUUUACUGUUAAAGACAUUAUAUAGCCUCUAAUACAUAAUAAUAAUGUUAAUAAUGUUUGUUUUCUCAAAACAAUUCCCAUUCUUAUGAUUUAUCCCAUAUAUAGUGACAACAUGGCCCACUAAACAUAAGUCAACAUAAUGAACUGUAGCCUAUAUUUAUACUGGAUAAUAAUGAUAGAUAUGUCCAAUAGUUGUUUCAGGGUGGUGACUAUUGAAAAAGUGACAUAAGUGACUUUUCAAAAUAAACUUAAUGUGAG
ensembl:lncRNA splicing regulatory glutamine/lysine-rich protein 1-like